GUUAGUUGGUGAGGUAACGGCUCACCAAAACGAUGAUGUCUAGGGGUUCUGAGAGGAUUAUCCCCCACACUGGUACUGAGACACGGACCAGACUCCUACGGGAGGCAGCAGUGAGGAAUAUUGGUCAAUGGACGCAAGUCUGAACCAGCCAUGCCGCGUGCAGGAUGACGGCCCUAUGGGUUGUAAACUGCUUUUCCACGGGAAGAACCCUCCGACGUGUCGGAGACUGACGGUACCGUGGGAAUAAGCAUCGGCUAACUCCGUGCCAGCAGCCGCGGUAAUACGGAGGAUGCAAGCGUUAUCCGGAUUUAUUGGGUUUAAAGGGUGCGUAGGUGGGCUUAUAAGUCAGCGGUGAAAUCCCCCGGCUCAACCAGGGAAUUGCCGUUGAUACUGUUAGCCUUGAGUACAGUUGAAGUGGGCGGAAUGUAGCAUGUAGCGGUGAAAUGCAUAGAUAUGCUACAGAACACCAAUAGCGAAGGCAGCUCACUAAGUUGUAACUGACACUAAUGCACGAAAGCGUGGGGAUCAAACAGGACUAGAUACCCUGGUAGUCCACGCUGUAAACGAUGAUCACUCGUUGUUGGCGAUAUACAGUCAGCGACUGAA
rnacentral:rRNA from 1 species